rnacentral:rRNA from 1 species
GAUGAACGCUGGCGGCGUGCCUAAUACAUGCAAGUCGAGCGAACGGACGAGAAGCUUGCUUCUCUGAUGUUAGCGGCGGACGGGUGAGUAACAAGUGGAUAACCUACCUAUAAGACUGGGAUAACUUCGGGAAACCGGAGCUAAUACCGGAUAAUAUUUUGAACCGCAUGGUUCAAAAGUGAAAGACGGUCUUGCUGUCACUUAUAGAUGGAUCCGCGCUGCAUUAGCUAGUUGGUAAGGUAACGGCUUACCAAGGCAACGAUGCAUAGCCGACCUGAGAGGGUGAUCGGCCACACUGGAACGGAGACACGGUCCAGACUCCUACGGGAGGCAGCAGUAGGGAAGCUUCCGCAAUGGGCGAAAGCCUGACGGAGCAACGCCGCGUGAGUGAUGAAGGGCUUCGGAUCGUAAAACUCUGUUAUUAGGGAAGAACAUAUGUGUAAGUAACUGUGCACAUCGUGACGGUAACUAAUCAGAAAGCCACGGCUAACUACGUG